rnacentral:pre_miRNA from 11 species
UUCACCAAUUGUCUUCAGUGAGUUCCUAUCUCACAACAGACGUGGUUUUUAACUCCACUGGUCACUGCUUCUCAUUGUUGUGAGAUAGGAACUCACUGAAGACAAUUGGUG